GACGAACGCUGGCGGCGUGCUUAACACAUGCAAGUCGAACGGAAAGGCCCUGCUUUUGUGGGGUGCUCGAGUGGCGAACGGGUGAGUAACACGUGAGUAACCUGCCCUUGACUUUGGGAUAACUUCAGGAAACUGGGGCUAAUACCGGAUAGGAGCUCCUGCUGCAUGGUGGGGGUUGGAAAGUUUCGGCGGUUGGGGAUGGACGCGCGGCUUAUCAGCCUGUUGGUGGGGUAGUGGCUUACCAAGGCUUUGACGGGUAGCCGGCCUGAGAAGGUGACCGGCCACAAUGGGACUAAGGUACGGCGCAGACUCCUACGGGAGGCAGCAGUGGGGAGUAUUGCACAGUAGGGGGAAGCCUGAUGCAGCAACGCCGCGUGCGGGAUGACGGCCUUCGAGUGGUAAACCGCUUUCGCCUGUGACGAAGCGUGAGUGACGGUAAUGGGUAAAGAAGCACCGGCUAACUACGUG
rnacentral:rRNA from 1 species